ACAACCUGCCCUUAGGUUGGGUAUAAACCCGGGAAACUGGGUAUAAUACCCGAUAGGUCUCAAUUGCUGGAAUGCAUCGAGAUUUAAAGCUCCGGCGCCUAAGGAUGGGUCUGCGGCCUAUCAGGUAGUAGUGGGUGUAGCGUACCUACUAGCCUACGACGGGUACGGGUUGUGAGAGCAAGAGCCCGGAGAUGGAUUCUGAGACACGAAUCCAGGCCCUACGGGGUGCAGCAGGCGCGAAAACUUUACAAUGCUGGCAACAGCGAUAAGGGAACCUCGAGUGCCAGGUUACAAAUCUGGCUGUCGAGAUGCCUAAAAAGCAUUUCAUAGCAAGGGCCGGGCAAGACCGGUGCCAGCCGCCGCGGUAACACCGGCGGCUCGAGUGGUAACCGUUAUUAUUGGGUCUAAAGGGUCUGUAGCCGGCCGGAUAAGUCUCUUGAGAAAUCUGGCAGCUUAACUGUCAGGCUUUCAGGAGAUACUGUCUGGCUCGAGGCCGGGAGAGGUGAGAGGUACUUCAGGGGUAGGGGUGAAAUCUUGUAAUCCUUGAAGGACUACCAGUGGCGAAGGCGUCUCACCAGAACGGACCUGACGGCAAGGGACGAAAGCUAGGGGCACGAACCGGAUUAGAUACCCGGGUAGUCCUAGCCGUAAACGAUACUCGCUAGGUGUCGGCCACGGUGCGACCGUUGUCGGUGCCGUAGGGAAGCCGUGAAGCGAGCCACCUGGGAAGUACGGCCGCAAGGCUGAAACUUAAAGGAAUUGGCGGGGGAGCACCACAACGGGUGGAGCUUGCGGUUUAAUUGGAUUCAACGCCGGAAAUCUUACCGGGACCGACAGCAAUAUGAAGGCCAGGCUGAAGACUUUGCCGGAUUAGCUGAGAGGUGGUGCAUGGCCGUCGUCAGUUCGUACUGUGAAGCAUCCUGUUAAGUCAGGCAACGAGCGAGACCCACGCCCACAGUUGCCAGCGUACUCUCUGGAGUGACGGGUACACUGAGGGGACCGCCGCUGCUAAAGCGGAGGAAGGAAUGGGCAACGGUAGGUCAGUAUGCCCCGAAUAUCCCGGGCUACACGCGAGCUACAAUGGUUGGUACAAUGGGUAUCUACCCCGAAAGGGGACGGGAAUCUCCUAAAACCAAUCUUAGUUCGGAUUGAGGGCUGCAACUCGCCCUCAUGAAGCUGGAAUCCGUAGUAAUCGCGUUUCAACAGAACGCGGUGAAUACGUCCCUG
rnacentral:rRNA from 1 species